CAGUAGCCGCGGUAAUACAGAGGGUGCGAGCGUUAAUCGGAUUUACUGGGCGUAAAGCGUGCGUAGGCGGCUUUUUAAGUCGGAUGUGAAAUCCCUGAGCUUAACUUAGGAAUUGCAUUCGAUACUGGGAAGCUAGAGUAUGGGAGAGGAUGGUAGAAUUCCAGGUGUAGCGGUGAAAUGCGUAGAGAUCUGGAGGAAUACCGAUGGCGAAGGCAGCCAUCUGGCCUAAUACUGACGCUGAGGUACGAAAGCAUGGGGAGCACAGGAUUAGAUACCCGCGUAGUCCCUGUCUCUUAUACAC
rnacentral:rRNA from 1 species